GACGAACGCUGGCGGCGUGCCUAAUACAUGCAAGUAGAACGCUGAAGGAGGAGCUUGCUUCUCUGGAUGAGUUGCGAACGGGUGAGUAACGCGUAGGUAACCUGCCUGGUAGCGGGGGAUAACUAUUGGAAACGAUAGCUAAUACCGCAUAAUAGCAGUUAUUGCAUGAUAACUGUUUGAAAGGUGCAAUUGCACCACUACCAGAUGGACCUGCGUUGUAUUAGCUAGUUGGUGGGGUAACGGCUCACCAAGGCGACGAUACAUAGCCGACCUGAGAGGGUGAUCGACCACACUGGGAAUGAGACACGGCCCAGACUCCUGCGGGGGGCAGCAGUAGGGAAUCUUCGGCAAUGGACGGAAGUCUGACCGAGCAACGCCGCGUGAGUGAAGAAGGUUUUCGGAUCGUAAAGCUCUGUUGUAAGAGAAGAACGAGUGUGAGAGUGGAAAGUUCACACUGUGACGGUAUCUUACCAGAAAGGGACGGCUAACUACGUG
rnacentral:rRNA from 1 species